rnacentral:lncRNA from 1 species
CCCACUAGGGGGCACUCAGGAAUCUUCCUGCGGGUUUCUGCCCUGGCUUUUAGGAUGUCAACUUGGGUCUUGCCCUUGGAACCUUUGGGUUCUUUAAUACUUCUCUUGACUUGCUAAGUGAGUUUUCAGCCUAUGGGUCUGAGAAGCAUCACAACUAUCAUUUUUAUCCCAUCAAAAUCGUCUUUGGAAAGCCCUUCGUCUUGGAUAUAACACCUCCGCAGCAGAUAGCUGCUGCCAUCCCUCAGGGGAGGCUGAGAUUUCAUCCUUAGAGGGAGUCGCUCGCUAUACUUGUGAAAGACAGUCUCUUCCUGCAUCCGGGCGCAGAGCGACACAGUCCUUCCGGUCCCUGUGAGCCACAGCAGAUGCGUCUUUCACACACCCAUCCCGUCAUCCGGGAAUCUGCUUCAGACUUCUCAGGGUCCUGCCAUCCUUUCUGUCCACCGGUGUGGACCCUGCUGUGGUUGAGCCGACACCAGCUGGGGCUCCUGCUCCACUCCGACCACGGGCAACACAGCUUUAGGGAUCAAGACGCACAAAUUCUCUUCGCCAGCUGGGAAGCCGCCUUCCAACAAAAUAGCAAUGCAAAACUUCCCUGCCCUGGGAGCUCAGGCUGGCAGGAGACCCAGAUGUGGUAUCCUAGCUCAGUAGCCUGAGCUGGAAAGGCCACCAUCUUCUUUUGCUGAUCCUUGGAAAUCUCGGCACCUUGGAGUUCCUCUCCUCCUGGAAUGGAAGGAAAUUUCCAGAUCUGGGCAACCUGAAGCCGUAUCUACUUCAUUGCUAUUUGGCAGGAUAGUCAUUCAUUCAUUCACUCACUCAUUCAUUUAUUCAUUCACUCACUCACUCAACAGUAACUUAUUCAUUCAUGCUUUAUCUUUUAAGGGCCUGUUGCAAUGAGACACAACAGAAAGAUGCAAAUCCUUUCCUUCCUUCGUACCUAGAAUAUGUGUGAUUCUGCCACAGUCUAGAUCCUUAGUGCCCUGCCUCAGUAGCCCCAGCCCCUGCUCCAGCUCUGUAUGUGUGUGUGGAGUGCGGCGAGGGGGUCAAGUCUCAGCAAGGGCAGUUGGCUGGUGACAAACACCCUGAGGAGAGGACAAGAGGUCUUGCUCAUGGUCCAGUCCUCAGACCCUAGCAUUGUCCCUGGCAUAGAAGAGGCAGUCAAACACCUGUGAAUUACUGGAUGGAUGCAUUUCAUUGUGUAAAAGGCAGAUAUGUACACAUAUCUUAAAAAAAAUAUAUUUCUGUAUCUAUACAUUUGGGUAUUAAUGCCUUGUUUCUGCAUUGAUGUGUCACUGUUUGGUAUAGUUUUAUAUAGAUAUAUAACCGUGUGUGUGUGUGUGUGUGUGUGAGAGAGAGAGAGAGAGAGAGAGAGAGAGAGAGAGAGAGAGAGAGAGAGAGGACAUAUACACGUACACAGUCCUUUAUACACAUGCUCUUCCCUUCAUAGCCUUUCAGGAGAAUGAAUACUUCUGUUUCCUGGUACCUGACUUCGUAAGCCCAAUCUGCAUUUUCUAUACAUGUACGGCUCCCCAGAUUUUCAAAUAUUUAUACUCCUAUAUUUAAAAUCUGUGAAAUUCCUCUUUCUCACCUC